CCUACGGGAGGCAGCAGUAGGGAAUCUUCCACAAUGGACGAAAGUCUGAUGGAGCAACGCCGCGUGAGUGAGGAAGGGUUUCGGCUCGUAAAGCUCUGUUGGUAGUGAAGAAAGAUAGAGGUAGUAACUGGCCUUGAUUUGACGGUAAUUACUUAGAAAGUCACGGCUAACUACGUGCCAGCCGCCGCGGUAAUACGUAGGUGGCAAGCGUUGUCCGGAUUUAUUGGGCGUAAAGCGAGUGCAGGCGGUUCAAUAAGUCUGAUGUGAAAGCCUUCGGCUCAACCGGAGAAUUGCAUCAGAAACUGUGGAACUUGAGUGCAGAAGAGGAGAGUGGAACUCGCGGUGUAGCGGUGGAAUGCGUAGAUAUAUGGAAGAACACCAGUGGCGAAGGCGGCUCUCUGGUCUGCAACUGACGCUGAGGCUCGAAAGCAUGGGUAGCGAACAGGAUUAGAUACCCGAGUAGUC
rnacentral:rRNA from 1 species